ACUCCUACGGGAGGCAGCAGUAGGGAAUUUUUCGCAAUGGACGCAAGUCUGACGAAGCAAUGCCGCGUGAGGGAUGAAGGUUUUCGGAUUGUAAACCUCUGUUAUAAGGGAAGAAAACCUGAUAUAGGAAAUGAUAUCAGCUUGACGGUACCUUAUCAGAAAGGGACGGCUAACUACGUGCCAGCAGCCGCGGUAAUACGUAGGUCCCGAGCGUUAUCCGGAAUUAUUGGGCGUAAAGAGCAUGUAGGCGGUUUAUUAAGUCUGGUGUGAAAGCUAGUGGCUCAACCACUAAAUUGCAUUGGAUACUGGUAAACUAGAAUACUGGAGGGGCAAGUGGAAUUCCAUGUGUAGCGGUGGAAUGCGUAGAUAUAUGGAGGAACACCAAUGGCGAAGGCAGCUUGCUGGACAGUAAUUGACGCUGAGAUGCGAAAGCGUGGGUAGCAAACAGGAUUAGAUACCCUGGUAGCGAGUAG
rnacentral:rRNA from 1 species